GCCAACGGUUAGUUUAUGCUAAAAAAUAACAUUAUCCGCGAAUUUUCCUGCCAACACUUUAUUUUUACUCAAUUUUUAAAUUAUAUUAUUAAAAAUAAAUUCAAAAACAAUUUCCCACAAAUUUCUCCAUUAGGGUUUAAUUAUAUUUAUUUUACCCGGAAGUUUCUAGUAGCGUUGGGAAAAUAGGAGUUGUCCAAUUGAAACCCAAAAUCUAAUUCCACCGUGAAAUUUCCUCAAUAAUUUCACUCAGACAGUUCCUCUUCACGAUUUCUCUCGACAUCCAUUAAGGUUAUUUCCAUCUAGACAUCAAAAAUGAAGUAUGAGAUGUUGAAUUCAAGGGGUUGUCAAAAUCCCAGGUGGGAAACUGAUUUUCCAGACAACAAAGGAGAGGGCUAGUGGACCUAAGUGCCCUAGGAAGCUGAUUUACCAGACAACUAAAAAGAGGGCUUGUGGACGUAAGUGCCCAGUUACUGGAAAGAGAAUUGUUGUUGUGAUUGUCAAAUAUUCUGACAACUAUGAAAACUUUGAGUUUGAGUAGACCGUUAAAUUGUCUUCAAAGGUCAAGGCAAAAUAAGUAAUAUUUGAAUACUAUGGACAUUAUUAUAUUGUAGGUAAUAUAGAGGACUGAUUCAAUCUGCAUGGACCUUGGUAUAGUGUAUCUAAAGUAGAGUAUCAACCCAUAUGUACCUUAGGAUAGUGGAUAUAAUAUAGAGGACUGGUUCAACCUUUUUUGAAUACUGCAUAGGUGAUUAGUCCA